UUACAAGGCUACGAUAAGACGAUAUUUCUGAAUACUGUGCAGAACAAUACAGACCGUAAGGUUAUAAUUAUGUU
rnacentral:rRNA from 1 species